rnacentral:misc_RNA from 1 species
CAUUUGAAAAAAAAAAAAAAAAACACUGUUUUAAUUUUGUUACACCCCUAAUCUACUCAUCUUGAAAAUCUAGCUGUUCUGUUCAACCUAUAAACACCUAACAAGCAUGACAAAUUAACUGCCCGCACUAAAACCAUUCCUCCCAAAAUGCUGCUGCCAACAUUGAAAAUGCUCUACCUCAUACCAUUAGACAACAUAAAGCAUCCAAAAAGAGAACUAUAUCCUCUUUGCAACUGGCAAUAUUCAGUGUAAAUGAACCAGCGUCUACAUCAAUGACACAUGUAACACCAACCAGAUGGCCUAAAAUCCUUUUUCAUUAAAGUACCCAUUUUUUCAUUAAAGUACCCGCUUAAGAUUAGACCCACAAGCAGCAGUUCAACCAAAAAAUGACACCUCUAAAUGAAGCAUACCAAACUAAUUUCCAACAAAAUCUAUGAUCCAUUUCUCCUUUCAAGGUCAAAUAGAACAUCUUAUGAGAUGCAAAAACAUCUUCCUAAUAUUCGGUUUGUCAAUGAGCUUGAAACUACUUUUGAAAAUUACAUUUUAGAUGAUGUUACAAAAAGAAGUUUGAAAACUUAGUUUGGCUGUUUUGGAGGCUUUAUAAAUAAAACAACUAAAUUUAACUUAAAACAUUUUUUAUGUCCUCUAAUCAACAAAUUCAAAAUGGUAAUUUUUUGUCAAUACUAAUAGCAACGCCCAAUAGACCCUAACUAUCAACCCUAUUGAUUAAUCCUCAUACGUCACCUGUAAUCUCUACUAUAUCACUCCCUUCCCAUAAAAGUCUUUACAGCUACACCUUGUCCUUUACUACCUUGGCCCAGGGUAGGAGAAAAGCAGCCAGUCUCAAAUCACCUUUCUGCCAUCUUCAAAGUGAUUGACAGGAAAUUAUAAUGGCUAUAUUUUAUUUCAGUAAGAGAAAAUGGAUAUUUCUUUUGAUACCAAAUCUUUUUUGUCCAAACUUCAGUUACAAACUUACAAGGGACUCCCUUUCUUCCAUUAUAUAAAUUGCCAUUCCCAAUUUCCCGUAACAUCCUAUUUGCACACUCACAUUCCAUACAAGACACUAGCAAACAACGCAAAAGAAAAAAUAAAAAUAAAAUAAAAUCUUAAGUGAAGCAAUAAAUAAAUAUCAGCCACCGACUGUAGACCGAGAAAAGGAUAACAGAAGCUCCCCCUUGUGUUGGCAAUUGUGAAAACCAUUUUUAACGUGUGAUUGAAAGCUCCAAAACUUUCCCAGCAAAGCCAACCCAAAUCCACAUUUCUGCAUUUUUUAUCUUAAUUUCCACACAUAAAUAAAAUUAACAAAUCAUGAAGCUGUGAGAAACAAGACAUCCAAUUUUAAAAUUUCAAGAUUUUUUUCCUUUUUAUUUUUGCUUUUUUUUUUUUCAAGUUUCAGUUCCCUGAUAAUAACCAAAAGGCCAGAAAUGGGUAAAAGGUUCCAUUUUUCUUCGUUUCUUUUCUUCUGCUAAAACAACAUUCUUCGUUCCUUG